rnacentral:rRNA from 1 species
AGGAGUUUUGAUCAUGGCUCAGGACGAACGCUGACGGUGUGCUUUAGACAUGCAAGUCGAACGAGAAAGCCCUUCGGGGUGAGUAAAGUGGCGAACGGGUGAGUAACACGUGGGCAAUCUGCCCCUCGCAGGGGGACAACCGGGGGAAACUCCGGCUAAUACCCCGUAAGCUCCAGGGACCGCAUGGCCCUUGGAGGAAAGGUAGCUUCGGCCAUCCGGCGAGGGAUGAGCCCGCGGUGCAUUAGCUAGUUGGUGGGGUAACGGCCUACCAAGGCGACGAUGCAUAGCUGGUCUGAGAGGAUGAUCAGCCACACUGGGACUGAGACACGGCCCAGACUCCUACGGGAGGCAGCAGUCGGGAAUCUUGCGCAAUGGGCGAAAGCCUGACGCAGCAACACCGUGUGUGUGACGAAGGCCUUCGGGUCGUAAAGCACUGUUGUUGGGGACGAAGGGCGAAGGUUAAUAGCCCCGAAGCUUGACGGUACCUUCGAGGAACCCCGGCUAACUACGUGCCAGCAGCCGCGGUAAUACGUAGGGGGCGAGCGUUGUCCGGAAUUAUUGGGCGUAAAGAGCGUGUAGGCGGUUCGGUAAUCUGCUGUGA